rnacentral:rRNA from 1 species
GAUAAACGCUGGCGGCGUGCAUAACACAUGCAAGUCGAACGAUGAAGAUUAAAAGAUUUCUUCGGAACGAACUUAAUUGGAAUAGGGGCGGACGGGUGAGUAACGCGUGAGUAACCUGCCUUGUACAAGGGGAUAGCCGUUGGAAACGACGAAUAAUACCCUAUGACAUCAAAUAAUCGCAUGAUAAUUUGAUCAAAGAUUUAUCUGUAUUAGAUGGACUCGCGUCUGAUUAGCUAGUUGGUAGAGUACAAGCCUACCAAGGCAACGAUCAGUAGCCGGCAUUGAGGCAUGUACGAGCCUCUUGCGGCAGGGAGCAGGACCAAACUUCUCCGGAUGGGCGCAGUGCUGAAGUUGCAACGACGGGUGAGAGACUGAUGCAGUGGCGCCGCAUAAUUUUGUAGUCAUUCAAGAAGUAAUAAUCUUUUGUAUGGGAAGAAAGUGACGGUACCAAACGAGUAAGGAACGGCUAAUUACGUG